GGUAAUGCUGGGCGACUCUGGUGAGACUGCCCGGUUAACCGGGGAGGAAGGUGGGGACGACGUCAAGUCAUCAUGGCCUUACGCCUAGGGCUACACACGUACUACAAUGGCGCAUACAAAGGGCAGCGAUACCGCGAGGUGGAGCCAAUCCCAAAAAGUGCGUCCCAGUACCGGAUUGCAGUCUGCAACUCGACUGCAUGAAGUUGGAAUCGCUAGUAAUUCGAGAUCAGCAUGCUCGGGUGAAUGCGUUCCCGGGCCUU
rnacentral:rRNA from 1 species